rnacentral:lncRNA from 1 species
ACAGCAGCUGAUGGAGAGACACUCGACCCAGGCCAGGCCAGAGGAGGCGUUGAAGCUGGAGCAGCCUCCGAUGUGCAAGGACCGAGAGCCGACCACAGCCUCUCAGAGCACAGGGAUGGCCACACCCAGGUCACACCCGCCUCUGGACACAGAUGCUGCCACGUCCUCCCAGGGUCCCGAGGACAGGCCAGAGAAUGUGGUGGCCAAGCCAGCCUCUGCAGAGGUGGAGGGCCCUGACGGAGCCCUCUCCCAGCUUCCCCUGGCCAAGUUCUUCCCUCCGGACAACCCCACCCACCAGGUACGUGGAGAGGUCCCCUGGGGGAGAGGCACAAUUUCAGGACCCAGCACGGCCCUGGUAGUGGGCCCCGG